AAUAAACGCUGGCGGCGUGCCUAACACAUGCAAGUCGCACGAGAAAGUCCUUCGGGGCGAGUAAAGUGGCGCACGGGUGAGUAUCGCGUGGGUAACCUACCCUGGGAUUUGGGAUAACGUUGCGAAAGCGGCGCUAAUACCGAAUGUGACCGUUGGGCGGUGGCCUGAUGGUGAAAGCCGGCCUCUUCGUGAAAGCCGGUGUCCUGGGAUGGGCCCGGGUCCUAUCCGCUGGUUGGUGGGGUAACGGCCUACCAAGGCGACGACGGGUAGCUGGUCUGAGAGGAUGAUCAGCCACACUGGCACUGGAACACGGGCCAGACUCCUACGGGAGGCAGCAGUGAGGAAUUUUGCGCAAUGGGGGCAACCCUGACGCAGCAACGCCGCGUGGGUGAAGAAGGCCUUCGGGUCGUAAAACCCUGUCGAGUGGGAAGAAUGGCCUCAAGGCGAAUAGUCUUGGGGUUUGACGGUACCACUAAAGGAAGCACCGGCUAACUCCGUGCCAGCAGCCGCCGUAAUAC
rnacentral:rRNA from 1 species